UUUUCCCUUCAGGAUUUACGAGGGGUGCAGAUCCUGGAAUGCCUGAACCAUCAGUUUUAAGCCUACUUUGGGGAUAAAGGCCUGUUCGGUCAUCUGGAUUUGGAAGCAAUCCAACAUGGAAGGUGUGUACUCUGGCUGGAUGAGAAAGACAUCAUUUCAACGCGUCUGGCAGAGUGGAGCCUGUACUGACUCACGAUAGACUGUCAAAAUAAAUAUUUUAACGAUGUUA